ACUCACAAAGAUUAGACGCGUUGUCAUGUUUAAUAACAAUCUGUAUUGUUGCUAUAAUGUAAACAAACAAUAUUUCUAAGUGAACAACUUAGUACUUUCGCACGAUGUCGAAAACAGUGUUGAAGUGUGUGUUUGUGAUCUCCUUUGUGCUUGUGAAUGUGUGUGAUGUGUUUUCAAAGACAUUUGUAAAUGAAUUAAUUACAGAACAUCGACAUACUCACUGCACCCAUGAACACCCGAAGGAAGAUCAAGUAAUACGCGGUGUCCACAUCGAAGAACCCCAUAUAGUGAAGAAGCGAAGUAUAGACCAACCGUUAAGGAUUAGCAUAUUUUACGAUCAUUCGGUAUACAGAUUGGAGCCUGAAAAAUUUGACAUGAUAAAUAACACGAUAUUGCCUGAUGCUGUUAGAUUCUGGGAACAAGCUCUGAAAGUGAGGAAGACUGGUGGACCCAUCAAGCUGAAUAGAAAAUGUCCGUCCCGACAAGUGUUCGUACGCGGCGGGCGGUCGCACUGCAUAGACUCCUGCGCAGUCGACACCAUGUGCGGGGAGGUGCGCGUGCCCGAUCAUCACCUUAAUCCAUGUUACGUAUGCAACAGCACGGGCCACAACUGCCGGGCGUUACCCCGGAUGCGGCCCAGGAUUCCUGACGACGUCUCGCCGACAGAGAUCACGGGGAACGGACUCAGUGAAACGGAGCCCCCAGUUUUAGAAGAGGAGAUGGAGGAACCCAUAGGAGUGGAGGACACGGACUUCGUGCUGUACGUGAGUGCUGUGGAGACGGAGCGUUGUCGGCGCGGGCUCACCGUCGCGUACGCAUCUCAUUGCCAGCAGGAGUCUGCCUUGGACAGGCCAGUAGCGGGCCACGCCAACUUCUGCCCAGGCGAGCUGUCUACCAAGUACCGUGAUCUGCCAUCAGUGCUGUCAACGGUCAAGCACGAGAUGUUGCACGCUUUGGGGUUCAGUGUGUCAUUGUUCGCGUUCUAUAGGGACGACAAUGGAGAACCGCUCACGGAACGAAGACCUGAUACCGGCAAUCCACCGCUGGAUGAAGAGUUACAAAUCCACAAGUGGUCAUCGAGAGUGGUGAAGAACAUUACUCGUAAGAACUGGAUGAUCAGAGGAGGGUUUAUGGAGAGGACAUUUCACAUGAUUGUCACUCCCAGAGUCGUUAAAGAAGUUCGAAACCACUUCAACUGCUCAACGUUAGAAGGAGCCGAGUUGGAAGACCAGGGAGGAGAUGGCACCGCACUCACACACUGGGAGAAGAGAGUUUUUGAGAACGAGGCUAUGACAGGAACGCACACACAAAACUCUGUCUUUAGCCGGAUAUCCUUUGCCAUGAUGGAAGACACGGGGUGGUACCGCGCAGACUACUCGCACGCGGCGCCGCUCGACUGGGGCAAAGGCCUAGGCUGCACCUUCGCGAAGGCCUCGUGCAAACAGUGGAUCAACCAGCAAAGGUUGAGGCGUAAAAACCCGGCGCCAUUUUGUGAAAGAGUAAAAGGCGACCCGUUGAGGACUGAAUGCUCUCCUAGAAGGAAUGCGGUGGUCCUUUGCAACCUCGUGAAGCAUGAGACUAUAUUGCCAAGACAGUAUCAGCACUUCGACGUGCUACCCAAUGUGCCGGCCGGCGAGGAGGCGCGGUACGGAGGCUCAGUGUCGCUGGCCGACUACUGUCCGUACCUGCAGGAGUUCACGUGGAAGCAUAAGACGGUGCUGGUGCGCGGCAGCCGGUGCUCCUACGAGGAGAACACGCCUAAAACUGAUGUUAAUUUUGCACUGGAGAACUACGGGCCUCAUUCCAAGUGUUUUGAUCACAGUGAUCGGGUUUGGGAGCAGAAAUCUUGUAGACAGAUAAGGGAGUGGCAGCAUUGGGGCUCAGGCUGUUAUAAAUACAAGUGCGAGAAUGGAAGACUGCAUAUCGUGGUGGGCAACUACUCGUACACCUGUUUCCACGCGGGACAAGUGUUACAAGUUCGCAUCAUUAAAAGAGGGUGGCUGCAUAAAGGUGGUGUCGUCUGCCCGCCCUGUAGAGAGCUAUGCGCGGAGGAGUUUGCUUCCCGAAACGAAUACUGUAAAGGCGGCGAAGAGGCGUUACCACCGAACUUAUAUCCGAACGAUGUUUUAACUUGCGGGGUUCCCGCACUUUCUGCAUCCGCCAUUUUGUUGGCAGCGGCCAUUUUGUACAAUCUACUGAGAGACUGAAACUUUGAAGUUAUGUGAGUAAAAAGUUAUCAUUUAAACACAAUUUUGUGUGGGUCUUUUUCAGUGCAUACUCGAUUUGCGUAUUAGGAAACGCGAACUUUUGAUUAAUGUUCGCAUUGGCCCCGAUUCCUGCAGACACCGCCUAAUUUUAUUUUAAGUUAUAUCCGUCAUUUUCAUAUCCGUCGAAAAGGAAAGGGACGGAUGAUUCACAGCUCUUAAUUUUAGGAAGAGUGAGUAAAUGAAUGAAUAACCCGGGCGAAUCAAAAAGGUACGUCGCUGGUAUGCAAUCCGUUUGACGUGCUGUCUACUUAACUGUGUCGGGUUAUUGACUGACGUAAAAUUUUUAGACGGUUGGUUUAGAUUUGUGCUUAAAAUUGACGUGUGUUCCAUAAAUUUUAUGCUUGUCGAUUACCCGUCCCUUUCCUUUUCGGCGGAUAAGAAAAUGACAGAUAUAACUUAAAAUAAAAUUAGAUGGUAUUUACAGGAAUUAGCACCAUUGAUAAUUU
rnacentral:misc_RNA from 1 species